CGAAACGCACAUCAAGCAUUUGAUGGAAAAACAUCUACGCGGGUGGCGUCUCAAAAGAAACGAGUGCGAUUUCAAAUUAAAAAAAAAAAUCGGCGAGGCCUUCCGGUUGUGCGCAUGCGCUCUCCAACCAGGAAGUGCGCCCGUGGGCGGCGCCAUGUCGGGCUUCAUGGUUGUGAAAUAAAGAAGAGGAGAUGACUUUUUAUUUUGCCUUUUCACACGGACGGCGGCACUCCAACGGCCCAACGUUUGCACCUCCGAUGUCGGCCUUCGAGCUGAUCACGAUGCACGGCGGCGAUGCCAUCCGGCUUCCGCCGGGGGAGACCGUCCUCGGCCGGGGGCCUUUCCUCCGAGUGAGCGAUAAGCGAAUGUCCAGACAUCACGGCCUGCUGGACAACCGAGAUGGACGACUGCGCCUCAGAUGAGGGAGGGGGGGGGGGGUUGUCCCUUGAUAAAAGGCCAUCAUUGUGCUUCCUGCUCAUGUGCUCCGCAGGAAGAAUCCCCUUCACCAUCAACAAUACCGACACCCAAAGCGAGCAGGUACCCGCACGUCCACCCCCCAAACAAAAAAAGCUUUCAUCCAGACAUUUGGAAAUAAAGUCGUACUUGCCGGCAGGCCGUCCCCAAGGCGGGGGCGGCGCCCGACUCGGAUUGGGACUCCGGCGACUCGGAUUACGCCCCAUCGCCCGACUCUGACUAAACCCCAAGGUUCAACCCCCCCCCCCCCUCGAAAGACUCAAUCGCCGCUCCGAAAACGUUCGAGGGACGAUUUCACAGCAGCUGAGUCGACAGCUGCUUUGACUUUUGACAGGAGUCGAGUGGUGCGAAUAAAAGCUUUUUACUCUGAAAGACACAAA